rnacentral:misc_RNA from 1 species
GUGAAUCAUCAAAUUUUUGAACGCAAAUUGCACUCUCUGGUAUUCCGGAAAGUAUGUCUGUUUGAGGGUCAGUUAAAUAGAAAUCGGUGUUGUUGCUGCCUUUCGUGGUGACGCGUCGGGAUUAGGUCGUCUUAUCUUCGGUUAAGUGACUUAAAAUUUUUGCAUGAUUUUAGAACGUAUUUUAAUAGCUUACGUAUGUUUGAGUUAUGGAAUGCUU